AACGAACGCUGGCGGCAUGCCUAACACAUGCAAGUCGAACGAGACCUUCGGGUCUAGUGGCGCACGGGUGCGUAACGCGUGGGAACCUGCCCUUAGGUUCGGAAUAACUCCCCGAAAGGGGUGCUAAUACCGGAUAAUGUCUUCGGACCAAAGAUUUAUCGCCUUUGGAUGGGCCCGCGUUGGAUUAGCUAGUUGGUAGGGUAAAAGCCUACCAAGGCGACGAUCCAUAGCUGGUCUGAGAGGAUGAUCAGCCACACUGGGACUGAGACACGGCCCCGACUCCUACGGGAGGCAGCAGUGGCGAAUAUUGGCCUAUGUGCGCAAGCCUGAUACUGCAGUGCCGCGUGAGUGGUGAAGGCCUUAGGGUUGUAAAGCUCUUUCACCCGUGUUGAUAAUGACCGUACCGGGAGAAUAAGCUCCCUCUAACCCCGUG
rnacentral:rRNA from 1 species